AGAGUUUGAUCCUGGCUCAGGAUGAACGCUGGCGGCGUGCCUAAUACAUGCAAGUCGAGCGAACGGACGAGAAGCUUGCUUCUCUGAUGUUAGCGGCGGACGGGUGAGUAACACGUGGAUAACCUACCUAUAAGACUGGGAUAACUUCGGGAAACCGGAGCUAAUACCGGAUGAUAUUUUGAACCGCAUGGUUCAAAAGUGAAAGACGGUCUUGCUGUCACUUAUAGAUGGAUCCGCGCUGCAUUAGCUAGUUGGUAAGGUAACGGCUUACCAAGGCAACGAUGCAUAGCCGACCUGAGAGGGUGAUCGGCCACACUGGAACUGAGACACGGUCCAGACUCCUACGGGAGGCAGCAGUAGGGAAUCUUCCGCAAUGGGCGAAAGCCUGACGGAGCAACGCCGCGUGAGUGAUGAAGGUCUUCGGAUCGUAAAACUCUGUUAUUAGGGAAGAACAUAUGUGUAAGUAACUGUGCACAUCUUGACGGUACCUAAUCAGAAAGUCACGGCUAACUACGUGCCAGCAGCCGCGGUAAUACGUAGGUGGCAAGCGUUAUCCGGAAUUAUUGGGCGUAAAGCGCGCGUAGGCGGUUUUUUAAGUCUGAUGUGAAAGCCCACGGCUCAACCGUGGAGGGUCAUUGGAAACUGGAAAACUUGAGUGCAGAAGAGGAAAGUGGAAUUCCAUGUGUAGCGGUGAAAUGCGCAGAGAUAUGGAGGAACACCAGUGGCGAAGGCGACUUUCUGGUCUGUAACUGACGCUGAUGUGCGAAAGCGUGGGGAUCAAACAGGAUUAGAUACCCUGGUAGUCCACGCCGUAAACGAUGAGUGCUAAGUGUUAGGGGGUUUCCGCCCCUUAGUGCUGCAGCCAACGCAUUAAGCACUCCGCCUGGGGAGUACGACCGCAAGGUUGAAACUCAAAGGAAUUGACGGGGACCCGCACAAGCGGUGGAGCAUGUGGUUUAAUUCGAAGCAACGCGAAGAACCUUACCAAAUCUUGACAUCCUUUGACAACUCUAGAGAUAGAGC
rnacentral:rRNA from 1 species